rfam:TPA: Bos taurus chromosome X, whole genome shotgun sequence.
UCCCCGGUGGUCCAGUGGUUAGGACCUGGCGCUUUCACUGCCAGGGCCUGGGUUCAAUCCCUGGUUUGGGGA